rnacentral:rRNA from 1 species
UGGGGAAUAUUGCACAAUGGAGGGAACUCUGAUGCAGCGACGCCGCGUGAACGAAGAAGGCUUUCGAGUCGUAAAGUUCUUUUAUAUGGGAAGAUAAUGACGGUACCAUAAGAAAAAGCCCCGGCUAACUACGUGCCAGCAGCCGCGGUAAUACGUAGGGGGCUAGCGUUGUCCGGAAUCACUGGGCGUAAAGGGUUCGCAGGCGGAAAUGCAUGUCAGGUGUAAAAGGCAGUAGCUUAACUACUGUAAGCAUUUGAAACUGAAUAUCUUGAGAAGAGUAGAGGUAAGUGGAAUUUUUAGUGUAGCGGUGAAAUGCGUAGAUAUUAAAAAGAAUACCGGUGGCGAAGGCGACUUACUGGGCUCAUUCUGACGCUGAGGAACGAAAGCGUGGGUAGCAAACAGG